CAGCAGCCGCGGUAAUACGUAGGGUGCUAGCGUUGUUCGGAAUUACUGGGCGUAAAGCGCACGUAGGCGGUUAUUCAAGUCAGAGGUGAAAGCCCGGGGCUCAACCCCGGAACUGCCUUUGAAACUAGAUGACUAGAAUCUUGGAGAGGUCAGUGGAAUUCCGAGUGUAGAGGUGAAAUUCGUAGAUAUUCGGAAGAACACCAGUGGCGAAGGCGACUGACUGGACAAGUAUUGACGCUGAGGUGCGAAAGCGUGGGGAGCAAACAGGAUUAGAGACCCCUGUAGUCCCUGUCUCUUAUAU
rnacentral:rRNA from 1 species